rnacentral:rRNA from 1 species
UGGGGAAUAUUGCACAAUGGGCGCAAGCCUGAUGCAGCCAUGCCGCGUGUAUGAAGAAGGCCUUCGGGUUGUACAGUACUUUCAGCGGGGAGGAAGGCGUUAAGGUUAAUAACCUUGGCGAUUGACGUUACCCGCAGAAGAAGCACCGGCUAACUCCGUGCCAGCAGCCGCGGUAAUACGGAGGGUGCAAGCAUUACUCGGAAUUACUGGGCGUAAAGCGCUCGCAGGCGGUCUGUCAAGUCGGAUGUGAAAUCCCCGGGCUCAACAUCGGAACUGCAUUCGAAACUGGCAGGCUAGAGGCUUGUAGAGGAGGGUAGAAUUCCAGGUGUAGCGGUGAGAUGCGUAGAGGUCUGGAGGAAUACCGGUGGCGAAGGCGGCCCCCUGGACAAAGACUGACGCUCAGGUGCGAAAGCGUGGGGAGCAAACAGG